rnacentral:rRNA from 1 species
UACGGGGGAGCAAGCGUUGUUCGGAUUUACUGGGCGUAAAGGGCGCGUAGGCGGCCAGCACAAGUCAGUUGUGAAAUCUCCGAGCUUAACUCGGAAAGGUCAACUGAUACUGUGCGGCUAGAGUGCGGAAGGGGCAACUGGAAUUCUUGGUGUAGCGGUGAAAUGCGUAGAUAUCAAGAGGAACACCUGCGGCGAAGGCGGGUUGCUGGGCCGAUACUGACGCUGAUGCACGAAAGCUAGGGGAGCAAACAGG